rnacentral:rRNA from 1 species
UCAGUGGAGGAAGUGAAAGCAACAGCAGUAGCUUCAGUAACGGCGAGUGAAGCAGCUACACUUGAUGGCUCGUCCCGAAAGGUGGUCCAACACACCCCRGAAUAGCAAGCUCACAUGGUUGAGACUCUUGUGUUCUGGUGGUGAUCGGCUCUCAUGGAUUCUUAUUCUGAUGCUGUGGGCUGUAUGGUGACUAUGGUUCUUCCAAUGUGUGCAGUUCAACAGGGGCACCAGUCAAACCACUGGAAUGUGGUGUGAAUCAGGGCAACAGCCCCCUGCAACAAGACUGUGUUGUGCCUCUGGACUCACCAUUGAUUGGAGCUGUGGUCAACCAAGAGUAGAAUGGCUUGAGACUGCAGUUUGAACUAGCAAGGUGUAUCCCUUGCAAAGCUUGAUAUCAGCCUGGAACCGAUAGUGCAGAAGUAGUGUGAACGAAGGAUGCAAAGCACUCAGCAAAGAGGGUUCAAAGUCCCUGAAGCCUUGGCAGGGUAGAGCGGUGCAUGGUGCUGUGGAUCUCUGUAUGCAGAAUCUUCCAUCCAAGUGGCCUCAGACCAGCCCUGAGCUGGCUUCAGAGCUGUUUCAUGACAAUUGGAGCAAUGUUUCAGAGGAGCUUCAAAGGUGACACUAUUGCUGUGUAUGUGGGUCUGAGGACCAUGGUGGUGCAUGGAAACUACUAUGAAUCUACUUGCUGGCCAGAGUCUUCCUUCAGUGAAAGAGUGCCUUGCAUUCUCAAUACACCAAAGCUGCAUUUCAGGGCUUAUCAGCCAAAGAAACAACAACUGCCUGCUGCAACAGUUGAGAUUGUGUGUGAAUUGGAAGAUAAAAUCCAGUGUCCUGCCUCUUGCUUAUAAACAAGAGGUCAGUCUUGACAUCUGGUCACUGAGGCUCCAGUCUGGUUGCAACUGGAGUCCUGGUGGUUGGGAUCAAUGAGACUGCAUUGCUUCAUUUGUCAAUGGUCUCACCUGACUGCUGGCUCCCCAGCUUGGGAGCCCAGUGUGCUCAUUAUUGCAUCCAUGUGGACUUGGACAUAUGCAGUUGCCAUGCACUGCCCGUCUUGAAACACGGACCAAGGAGUCUUUGGAGCUGGCCAGUAGGCACAGUGUUGUGAAUUGAAAGCUGAAGUGUGUGGUGAAGGCAAACCAGGCAAUGAUAUUGGUGGCACAGCYACUAAUGUUGUGAGCUUCCAGAUGGCUAUGUUAUGAGAACUCUGCUUGGAACUGCCAGACCUGAAGUCCAUUGGACUGGGUUCUGAGUGCAUGCUAGCUUCAAGGGACCCGAAAGGUGGUGAACUAUACUGUUCGACAGUGAAGCCAUGGGAAACUGUGGUGGAAGCUGGUCGCUGUUCUGACGUGCAAAUCGCGUAGCUCCAGUGCGGCAUAGGGGUGAAAGGCCAAUCGAACCACCUAGUAGCUGGUUUCCUCUGAAGUUUCCCUCAGGAUAGCUGGGCUGAGUGUUGAACCAAAGCCACUGCUUGUGAAGCCAAGUGAUUACGUCCGGUAAAGCAACGAUGAGAGGCUCAGGCCUUUGUGGGAGCUGCAUGUUCUUACACCUAUCCUCGAACUGUGAAGGGGCGUGGCCUUUCUAGGCAUGCUGCUUGAUCUAUGAGCUUGAAUGAGAGGCAGUCCUUUCUCAAUGGCUGUGCUCCUCUGGUUCUCUGAGCGUGUUAUAACACCAUCUGACUCGAUCAGAAUGUUGAAGAGCUAUGUGUGAUUGCUGAGACAAGUGUUCUGUCCAAGGCCAAGUGAGAGACGAGUGUAGCUCUGGCUGCCUCUCUCUCUCUUCUCUCUUCUCUUUCUGAUGUGGAACCAACGUGAGCCCAUGUGGACCACGACUGGUAAGCAGUGCUGGUGAUGCGGGAUGCUCCGAGAGUGUAUGGCUUAUGGUGCCAGAGUGCUGGCUCAAACUCAGAUCCCACAAAGGAUGUUGCUUGCUCUGGAUAGCAGGACGGUGGCCAUGAAAGCUGGAACCCGCUGAGGAAUGCGUAACAGCUCACCUGCCGAAGCGUGCAGCUCCGAAAAUGGAUGGUGCCCAAGCCAGUUGAACGGUUACCCACAGCCCACCAAUGCCAUGGUGAUUCAAUCUUCUUGAAUGAGACCAAGAGCAGAGUGUCAUUGUGUAAGAUGGACACAAGAAACCUGUGCAGUGAAGGCUGCUAGGCUUGAGCCUGGCUUGAGCGUUUCUUGGUGCAGAUCUUGGUUGUAGUAGCAAUUACUCCAUUGACCUGAUGUGCCCAUGCUCAAUCAUGAAUUGAUAGCACAGGGCUGUAUGCAGUUGAGGACUGGAGUUGGAGCAGGUUUCCACACCAAACAGCCGUUGAAUGUGGGUCAGCCGACCGUGAGCCAAGUGGUACGUUCACUGAACAACCAAAGCUGCACAGUAAAGAAGCAAUCAUCUCCUUGUGGGCAGAGCUAUGUGUUCAAGAGGCAAAGAGAAGAGCUUUUCAAGGCAAGAGUGGCAAACAGGCAAGCAACUGCAACAUUCUGCUGUGAUGGGUUUGGGGUGCCUUGCGCUGGUGACAGCCCUUGGUAUUGAAGCAAGCUUGAAGCAAGCUUCGGGGUGCUAGCACCUCCAUGGAGUUUUCGUUUCCAUCUGAUGGACAGUCUGGAAGUCUAGUGCUAUCUCGUGUCACCAUGGUGACCUAGUCUUCUGCUCAGCAAGGCAAUGCAACUUCUGCAUUGGUGAUGUGAUGUGAGAUCUUCUGUGAACUAAUGGUGGCCAAAUGGUGAUUUGCCCAACACAAAACCACACUGUGGUGGCUAGCAGCUCCAAUGAACCGCUUGUGGGCCUAUGAGCCCCUGAAGACUCUUGUCUUCGUACUGCAUAACCGCAGCCGGUCUCCUCGAUUGAAAGUCGCUUGUCCACAGAUGCAAUGCAGCCAAGGGAAGUCGGCAAACUAGCUGCGCACCUUCGGAAGAUGCAGUGGCUCCAGAUGCUAUGAUUCACAGGGCCCAGUGAAGGUCAGUUGCUACUCAUAACCUUGUUGGUAGCUUGUCAGCAGCAGCUGUGUGGUGGCUAUUCCAAAACCCCGCACUUUGGCUCUGGCAUUGUCUGCUCUUGGUUCAGCAACUGGUUCAUCCUUCAACUGGGGGAGAUAUAUCCUUCUCCAUCCUGUGGUAUCCACUCUUGAAUGGCUCACAUGGAACUGUUGCUGUAGCAAGGAAUCUGACUGUUUAAUUGAAACCCAGCCUUGUGAUGGGACCAGCUGGCUGGUGCCACGAGGUGACUUCUGCCCAGUGCUCUGAUUGUCAUUCUGAAGAGACUCAGCCAAGCGCGGGUCAACGGCGGGAGUAACUAUGACUCUCUUGAGGUAGCCAAAUGCCUCGUCAACCAAUUAUUGACGCGCAUGAAUGGAUCAAUGAGAUUCCUGCUGUCCCUGGUUGCUGUCUGGUGAACCAACAGCCAAGGGAACGGGCUUGGAAGUGUCAGUGGGGAAAGAAGAGC